rnacentral:lncRNA from 1 species
GGAAGGGAGCUGCACUUGUGUCAGCCUCACUGCCCAGGUCACGCCUGUGUCCCUUCUCUCAGGAGGGCAUCUCGUGACUGUGGGGCUGCCGGGCCAGACUGUGUAGAUCCAGGGCCCAGAGGGCUGUCAGUGGGUGCAGGUGCCAGCAAGUGCAGGGGCACAGCCAGCAAGCUGGACUUGGCCCGAGGGACCUUGAGGCUGCCAAGGCUUCCCAGAGGCUUUUCCCAGGUGCCAGGCUUGGCUGCCACCCACAGUUUCCACAGAAGCCUGUCAGGCCGUCAGGGAAGCAGCAGCGCAUUCCAACAGGGCAAGUGCUGGGGGCCAGACAGGGAGGAACUGACCAUCAAGUCUGGAGCUGCUCCCACCGCUGGCUGCAGGUAAGAUGAUGCAGCAGCAGCCUGGGUUUGUUCAGCGUGACUGACAUGGGUAGAGGCAGAAGCAGAGGAGACCAGGGGCCCCAUCUUGUCCCCCCUCCCCUCCCCACUCCCUUCCGGGAAGUACCGAAAGGCCAGGGUCUUCAUCACCUUUCAGAAGCACCCAUGUUCACACAUGUGUAUGCAUGUUGCCCCUGGUUUGGGAGUGUGAAUGUGACACUUGGUCUUGGUAUUGUUCUGCGUCAGGCAGGAGAGCUGCUCCACCCUGCAGCUGCAUGUGUUUCAACGGAGGGCAGCUGACUGAACCAGUCCACUCGGGAAGGACUUUUGUUCCUAAUAUAUUUUGCAACAACAAACAGUGCAGCAACAAAAAUCCUUAUAUAAAUAUGCUUUUGGUAACUUGCACAAGUGGGAUUGCUGGAACACACAGUCUUAAUCAGUUUAAUUAGUCUCACAGUACUCUGUCAGAGACUAAUUGCUGUCCCCCAGUAUAUGUUCUUUUAUUCUAUUGUAUAGAAUUCCUGGUUUUCAGCUGGAUACACAGUGGAUACACAGCUGCCUAGAACAAAGACUACAUUUUUCAGCCUUCCUUGCAGGUGGGUGUGGCUCUGCAACUAAAUUCUGGCCAGUGGAAUGUAAGUGUGCGUGCAGCUUCCUCAAAGAGACAGAAUAGGUUCAGGUCUUUCCCGCUAACUGGGAUGUGGCUGUAAUGGCUGGAGCUGGAGCAGCCAUCUUGAGCCAUUGGGUGAUCUCAGAAUGGGAGCCCCUCAUUGUAGAGCACAAGGCGGAAGGAGCCCUGGUCUCUGGUGUGUCUGCAAGAGCUCCAGACAUCCUCCUUCAUAUGAUUUGUUGAAUGUGAGAGAGAACUAAACAUCUAUCUUUUGUAAAUCACUUUAGAUUUUUCUCUCACUUAUAGUUGAACCUAAUCUGAACCAAUAUAUCCUUCAAAGAGGCUGUACCAGUUUUGUCUCCUAUCAGCACAGCCUCACCAGCACUGCGUGCUGUUCAAAUUCCCUACCUUCCUGAAAAGCCCUGCUCACGUCUGUUCUGCUGGGUACAUCCCACAUGCUGCGUCUGGGGGUGGGAAGAGACAUCAUGCAGAAGAGAGGCCAGGAUGUGGGAGGUUCUGGAAGCCAUGAUGCGAUGAUGAGUCCACCAUAUUUGCCCGUCUCAGUCUUACUGCUGCUCAUGGACUGUGGACCUUGAUCUCGUGUCUUCUCUCUGACCCUCAGUUUCCUCAGCAGUGACACAGGGAAGCAGAUGUCCAGUCGUCCCUUUUUUUCUCCAUUGGUAAUCGCACUGGGGUGUUCUAUGGGUCAGUGAAGCACCAGCAGAAGGUGACAUUCCUACCCCUUUACAGUUACUUAUGGAACUAAGCUCUGGUCUGUGGGAUGUUAGCAGGACUAGGAGAGACUUUCUUCAGCACAGGCUGCUUAAAGGGAGCUAACUUAGCUAGGAGAUGUGUUCCUUGGUCCUCCUGCCUUUCUCCUUCCUGGAAUGCAGCUGUGAUGACGAACUGUCCAGCAGCCAUCUUGGAUGAUGAGGUGACUCUGGGAAUCUAGUCAUCACAAACAAGCUAUGUCCCUAACGAUGAUGGAACUGCCGUACCAGCGCUGGACUGCUACCAACGGACUUAUUACACAUGAGAGAAAGAAACGCUCUUGUACACAGCAAUCCUGAUCCUAAGGAACAUGUAAAAACCCUGAUGUGCCUGCUUGAGGGAGAUGGGAUAUUACGAAACACCACUUUGUGUCUUUUCCUUCCUGAACCUCACCUUUCACCUCCCUCCUGGUCAGAAGGGGUUUAGGCCUAGGCCUCCUUGCUGAGGGCAGAUGACCUCCUGGCUUUGUUCCCUGACACACUGGGCACAGGGGCAGCAGGGGCUUGGGCAGAGACAAAGGUAGAUUCCCUCAGGGGUGAGGUCUGUGUGCUCCUGGGCACUGGGAGCCCAGGCUCCAGACAGCACAAGCCCUUGUGUGUUUAGGACCCAGAGUUCCCAGCCACCGCAGGGGGUCCCCCAGCUCAGGUGGCCCAACACCAGUGGAGCUCUCAGACCUGCAGGUCUGGUGGCUGGGAGCACUGGUGGUCUCGGUGGUGACAGGUGUGACCCAUGGCAUGCUAGGCUGCCACCUGCUCUGCUCACUGGGCUGGGGCUUGACAUGCCCACAGGUAAGGGGCUUGACUUCCAGGACCAAGGGCCGGUUCUUCCUGAAGACUCUCUGCUGGGCACGCUGGCCAGGUCACUGCCCACAAGGACCGGGUGAUGGCAGUGGCCCCCCUGAGGGCCCCACUUUAAUCCAUCACUUCUCAGAGGCCCCAUCUCCAAAUCCAGUCACAUUCUGAGGGUCUGUGUUCAGGCAGCAUUCUAAACGCUCCCCCACCACCAGGACACCCUUUACAGACGAUCAGCUGAGGGCUAGGCAUCACUUGGCCACACGAGGCCAGGAGGGUCAGGACCCCAGGCCUCUAACCACAGCAUCCACUGCCCAGACCCACAGUCACCUCCUGUGUGAGAAAGGCUUGGAGCCUGGUUGCUGGGGCUGUGGGACCAAGGAGAGGAGGCUGCAGCCACUCCACAGCCAGUCCUGGGUGCAGAGAUCCCCCGAAUAGCUGCCCGGCAGGGGGAGGUGGGGAGCGCCACAGGCGUCCAUGGUAGAGCUGUGCCUGGGAGGCAGGCCGUUCUGGUACAGAUCAAACCAGCUGGCUCCUGGCCCUUGGGGGUCGGUGCCCCCCCAGAAUGUGGCACAGCCCUCAGGCCCACCCUGAGGAGGGCCUGGCACCAAGCAGCUUCUGGCUAGAGGGCGGCCCCCCUCCUUCCUAAGCAGGACCUUCCUGGGGGCCGGGGGUGGGGAUGGGGGUCCCAUAAUGGGCUGCAUGGAGCGUAGCCAGCGUUUUAUUUAUUUGCUUGGAGGCGGUGACUCAGCUGAACACAUUCAGCAAACGCAGACCCAAUUACCUUCUGUGAUGAGUGUUUAAAGCUGGGCUCCACUUGCUGGGCACUCAGGAGGCCCUGGAACACAGUGAAGGUUCUGCCUGACCACGGUCCCCAAUGAUAUUCUAGGGGGGAUGGCCCGACUGGAGGGGAAAACUGGAGAGUGGCUCUGAGGACACAGCCUUGAUCUCUUGGUGCAUGACCCAGAAUUCCAGAAAACAACAGAGGCCAAAUGCAGUUUUUAUCAGUGGGCCAGAAAUGAUCGCAUGAGCCCCCUGUCCUGGGUCUUGCAGGCUUGAGAGGGUGGCUGGUCACAUUUCAGAGGAAAGAGCAUCUUUAAGGCUCCUUUGUACCAACAGCUCUUCUAAAGACACUUUCAUGCUGAUGGAAGGUAGAACAGGACUUUCCAAUUUCUCCUUGGUCUCCACGCUGACGACAAGAACCUCUAUGCUUCUGGGGAACAUUUUCAAUUCGCCACUUAUCAGAACUAGCUUUAUGAUUCCAAAACGCGUCUGUGUUUUUGCAGCUGUGGGUAAGCGGAAAAUUUUUCCUUCUUAUCUUGCUGAGAUUUCUUUUACCAGCAGUAAGAAAGGCUUAGAGUUUUCAAGGCUAAAUGCUGAAAUUUCAUUAUUUGGCACCAAGAGGUGGGAAAAG